rnacentral:lncRNA from 1 species
AAUCCUCACGAAAAUUAAUUUAGCUAAGAGAGGGUCACAAGGAAGCAUAAACUGUCCCUUAUGCGACUUAAACCCUGAGACAGCAGACCACUUGUUCCUUCAAUGUCCGUUCGCAAGAAAAGUUUAGACAAUACUUCAAACCAUCCUCCACUUCAAUGACUUACCAUACAAUCAAGAGCUGCUAUGGAACAACAGGAAAGCAGAAGACACUCCUGCCAGAUGCAACGGAUAUACUCCUUGCCACGGGAUUAUGGUAUCUAUGGAAAGAAAGAAAGAAGAGAUGCUUCAAUUUUCAUGCUUACCUCCCACAAUAUAUAACUCAAUAAAUCGUAGGUCUCUUCAUUUUCUAGACAGAACAAGUUAGAGAAGA